CAGUCGUACUUAUGGGUAAUCAGCCUUUUGGGUGUGAUUUUGUGGAGCGUGAGGAGUUAAACGCCUUCAUGCCUGCAUAUUCGUGCACUUUGGGUGUACUUGCCCGUGUGUAAGUUAACAUCAAUUUUGGUGGUCAUAAAAUGACUGGAGGAAUGUAGCUUCGAUCUUGUAUUGAAGUGUUAUAGCCUUUGGUAGAUGUGAUGAUCGGGAUUGAGGAUUGCAACGGAUACCCGUUCGGGGCUACUCGUCUGAUCUCUGAAGGUUGCUCCGGUGCCGAAAGCGUGCUUACGGUCAUCGAAAGUGA
rnacentral:rRNA from 1 species